rnacentral:rRNA from 1 species
AUUGAACGCUGGCGGCAUGCUUUACACAUGCAAGUCGGACGAGUGGCGAACGGGUGAGUAACGCAUCGGAACGUACCGAGUAAUGGGGGAUAACUGUCCGAAAGGACAGCUAAUACCGCAUAUUAUUCGAGCGGCCGAUGUCGGAUUAGCUGGUUGGCGGGGUAAAGGCCCACCAAGGCGACGAUCAGUAGCGGGUCUGAGAGGAGGAUCCGCAACACUGGGACUGAGACACGGCCCAGACUCCUCCGGGAGGCAGCAGGGGGGAAUUUGGGACAAGGGGCUAAAGCCUGAGCCAGCCAUGCCGCGUGUGUGAAGAAGGCUUUCGGGUUGUAAAGUACUGUUGUCAGGGAAGCGGUACCUAAAGAAAAAGCACCGGCUAACUACGUGCCAGCAGCCGCGGUAAUAC